CAAUCCCCGAUAGUUUAUUCAUAGUUGUUUUCUUCUUCAUUGUUGUUUUUCUUUUUUACUGCCCUCUGCAGAAAUGUCUCUCGAUACAAUGCAUUUUGUGUUCAUUGAGAUAAAUGAAGAGUGCACCCAAAGAAACCACCUUCUACUAAAUCUUUAAACAAGGAACAGGUCUUAUGCCACACAUUGUAUUUUAAUAAACUUAAUUUAAUGAAGCGCUGCAUUCCACAAGUACAGUCUGAACAGUAGCUCUCCUUUGGGAUGGAAAAAUUACAAGAAGCAAUGCCGAGGACCAUGAACUGUAUACAGAAGCCUUGUGGAUCUAGAAACCAAAAGUGUAUGAACGUAGGACAUUCUCAAGUUUUAAAACGUGGCCGUUAUAAUAUCAUCACAUUACAUAAAUAUCACAUCACCCAUAUUCUUUGUUUUUUCUUUUAGAACCAAAAAAAAAAGAUGCUCAUAAACUGCAAAAUUACUUUAGAUCACUGUGAUAAAUCUGAAUUAACUACUAAGUACAGUCAGCCCUUCAUAUUUGUGAGUUACACCUCUGUGGAUUCAACCAACCCUGGAUGGAAAAUAUUCAGGAAAAAAAAAUCAGUGCAGAGUUGUGUCUGUACUAAACAGGUACACACUUUUUUUCUUGUCAUUGUUCACUAAAUACAGUAUAACAACUAAUUAUACAGCAUUUACAUAUUAGGUAUUAUAUGUUUAGAGAUGAUAUAAAGUAUACUUGAGGAUGUGCAUAGGUUAUUCGCAAAUACUAUACCACAUUAUGUAAGGCGCUUCAGCAUCCAUGAAUUUUGUUAUCAGCAGGUUGUUCUGAAACCAAUCCCCCAUGGAUACCUAGAGACAACUGUAAUUGCAAACUACUUCAGUGAAUAACAAAAGCUAACUAAAAACUUAGUUCUGAAUAAUUGGAUUGUCUGUUGCACUCUACCUAUUGAAGCAGAGAGUUUACAUGGCCACAGGUAAUUCAUUCAGUAAUUUCAGGGUAUGACCCAAGAUGCAGUAUUCUUCUCUGUGGCUCUUCGCCUUGGAGCACUUGGAAGAUGCAUUAUCUGCUGAAAAACCAAUGUUCAGUGUGGGCUGAUAUAAUAAAAAUUAAAUACUUUUAAAACUGAAUCAAAAUCAUAGCUAAAAAUCAAUGCUAUAUAGUUUCUACGACAUGAAUAAUCUGUGAACAAAUCAUUUAUUACAGGUCUUGUUUUAUGUUUCUCUUGUCAAAGAUAAUUAUUUAUUACAAGUGAGGUUUCUGUCAUCAGUAGAGUCAAGGGUAACCUGGAGUGCCUACCUCUUUGAAUUUUGAUACUCCAUCGAGUUUAUCCAUGUUAAGUACUGAGCACAGCACUUGGCCUACAGCAAGAGCUCAAGAAAUAUUUGUGAUUUUAUUAUCGCUAAGUAAAAAUAAAUUUGAAUUUCACUAACUAAGAUUUCUGAAAUUCACAUUUUAUUUGCAUGCCAUAAAACUAGUCUAUUCAACAACUCCC
rnacentral:lncRNA from 1 species